UGCUCCCUCCCUAGAUCUUCCAUCCAGGAUAGUCCUGGAAAUGAUCUUGAUGCUAUCUGUUCCUCGUUACAGCAGACCUGCUCAACUUCAGCAGCUAGAAGGAGGAUUGUCUUUCACCAGCUGCAGGAGCCUGUUCCCACUACGAGCCUGGUGGAGUCUUCGGAGCAGAUGUGACUGUCCUACUUGUAUAGAGAAGAGAAACUGAGGCUCAGAAGAGAUGCCUGGCUGAGUUUAAUAGGACUGCAACAACAAUUUUGCCUUUCUACUUUCUGGUACAGUGGUCUUUCCUUUGCCAUCAUGCCUCAGCAUAUCCAUGUUAGUAAAUUCUCCCAGUUGGGGAAAAGCUUGGCAGCAAUGAAAGUUAAUGUGAUGAAUCAUUUAGAUGGACAGAUUGGAAAAAUGUUGUUCCUUUUGCAUGUGAUGUUCUUGCCAGAAAUCAAGUAGGUGGAGUUUUUGAAGCGUGAUCAGUUAGAUAAGUAUGGUGGUUUUAAAUAAUCAAGCAUGGAGCCAUACCGGUUAUGUUUAAUUUAUAACAAAAUCAGACAAUUCAGGCAUGAUGUUGAACUCAUUGAGCUUGGCUCACUACUACAUUUCUCUCACCAAAAGCAAUGACUAUAAAGAGUUACAAAUACCAUGACCUUAUAUCAUAAAGCAUAAAUUAUUCCAGGAAGUUUUCCAUUUAAGUCAACUUCUCAAAAUCUUAGGAGAAAACUACCAAUAUUCAGUUCAAACCCCAGAGGCUUAAGGAAAAAUAUUAAUGUUGAAAUAGCAAGUAAGUGGUAGUAUCCUCGCUGUAUGCACAAUUGCAUCUGCUCGGGGGUUAGUCUUUCUUUAGCUCCUGUCUACAACUCACACCAGUCUCCAGAUUGCAGCAAUAUACCCUUCAUUUGACCCAGUUUAUUCAUUCAAAAGAUACCUGGAGCCAAAACCAUGUAUGAGAAAUAGCAAAGGAAGAGGCAGGCACAAGCUGUGUUUAUAUACCCACCAAAGGACUACAGCAAAACACAUAUAUUCUAGUCAGCUCUGAGUGCACCUGUCUGUGUCAACAGUAGACCAGCGUGGUCUGGCAGAUGACCAUAUGACCCAGCUGAUUCACUCCGGAGUUAGAGGAACUUUUCCCAGACCCUGAAAGUCACCUUUUUAGACAACUUCGCAAACAGCCAUCCUUGUUCACGGACCGUUUGCAAAGAAAUUUCCUAAACAUCACCACUGAGGCUCCUUCCAGCAAUGACUCUGGUCCAUCAUUGGGAUUGCUGAGCAGCUGUUUCAUAACAUGAACAAGGAUGUUUUAACCAUGUUUCUUGACCUGGCCAUUUGGAUCCCAAGGAUGUUUUGGUCCAAGAAUAAAUUCCAGAGCUUAGCUCACCGAAGAAGACAGGAAAACUUGUCAGAUGGGGAAGGAUGUGUCAAGAGCAUGCACACAGAUUUACUCUUCAGCUAGAAGCUCCAAUUCCUAGAUGAUCUGAAUCCAACUCAGAGUGCUUGCACCUGUUUCCUGCCACACAGCUAGAGCUGUCCAGUGAGAGAGACAUGAUGGCCCAGCUUGAAAAAGAAAUUGAGGAUAGCAAGUGUAACAUACCAAGCAUUCCACGAGCACGUGUAAGAAGUGCCUUUCAUGUCCCACCAUGAUUCUGAGGACCCCCCCAGCCAUAUGGAACGUGUCCCUCUAGGUUCUCUGAUUGGCUGAAGCUACUCUAAGCCAAGAGAUCAAAGAAGCUGAUAAUGUAGAAUGUAAGUUUGUCUCCUGGGCCACAAUGGAAAGCAGAGACUGUAGCUGGAGGAGUGAAUAGAGGAUAUGCAGCUCUGGUAAUUCUCAGUACAAUUCCCAGUGGUCCACUCUGCAGAAUGAACCAAGUUCCAUUUUGCCCAACUUCUGGCAGUCCACAUUUGGACUGUGAGCUCACCUACAGAUAAAUCGUACGUGGAUUGAUGCAGUAACUGGAUUUGUAGCUGCUAAAUCUUAUUUAAGUGAGGACCUGUCCAGUACAUGUGAAGACCACCCAUCCACUGAAAGUGAUAAGUGAAGCUGAAUCAAUACUAGACUGAAUCAAUACUGAGCUGAAUCAAUACUUUCCCAAUUUUGAGGAAAUCUUGGAAAAUCUCUGAGAAAUGUGGUAGUAAUUAUUUUGAAGAAUUGGAAAACUUUAUAGCUGAUUAUGCUAUGUGUGGAAGAUACAACAGGAUUAUAAGAGAGAGAAGACAAUAUCCUUGCUGUGUCCAGAAGGCUUUAGCCGGGGUGUCCUACUGAGAGAUGACAAACUUAAGGUUUUUCUCUUCCCAGACAUUACUGGACAACUAGCUAUGUAAUUAGGUCUUAUGCCGAAAAGACUGAAAGGAAAACAUCUCAGAUCUAGGAAUGUGAUCAAGAAAGAAGGCUGGUUAAAGAAUAACAUGGGGAAAAUGAAUGCAGUGAAAUGGUUCACGCACAAGUUCUAGGAAUUCAGAGUGCAACAGCAGAAAUGCGAUUUUUGUUAGAUAUUUCAGAAAGUGAUGUGAGUCCCUGAGGUCAUACUGCAGCGUUCAGGUUCUGUUUGGCCUCCUGCACGAAGCUUUCCUUGAUUGGAAAAGCUGCAUACUCUGAAGCACAUCGCAUGUGUCCUGUCUGUAGUUCAUUUCAUUUCCCCAGAUUUGUUAUCAUCCACCAUCACUCAUACAAGCCUACCUUCUUCAUGCCAACCUUUGUAAUCUUUCUACCUUGCUAACCUGGUCAUGUCAAGGACCAGCUAAUAAAUAGCAAAGUUGUACCUUGAGCCAAGGUAUCUUGACUCUUAGUCCAGUGCUCUUUAUAUACCUCUGAAGUCUUAUUUGAGCUUCAAAAUUAUGAGUCUGUGCUCUCAAGAUUUUUUUGAAAAUGUACUUAAUGUUGCCCCUAAGCUUUUAUGAGAAAUAAUAAAGUUCUUUCCAGAUU
rnacentral:lncRNA from 1 species